GGGAGUAACAUGAAUACCCACGUACUCUCCACCUAGAUUUAAUAAUCAGAAUAAAUAAUCUGUGUAGGCCUUUAUUUUUUACAAACCCUCUUGUUUAACGUUACCGCAUUCCAAAUGAAACUCAUUGGUGAGUGGUGUGGGGAUCUAUUCAGAUCCCCAUGACUGCAGCCCUUAAGCAGAGGUAAGGCCACCUGCCACACCCUACUUCCUCUCCCUCCGUUUCCAUCCUGCUCAGGAGGUGCCGUCAGAAAGAUCAGUUACAAAUAUGGUUAUCUGUGCGUAGGGGCCUGGGCAGCAAAUCUCAUUAAUCUGGGCUGGGAUAGGCAGGUGGGUUGGUCCAAAUUAAGGAGAUCCUACAGAAACUCUUAGCUGCCUGCAGGAUUCAACACGAACUCCUUAAGGUAGCAACAAGGGCCCUUUGUAAAAUCUGGCCAGAAACAGGUGUCCUAGAUGCUUCUUCACACCCCUCAGUAUACAAUGUAUCCAUAUCAUGUCAGCCUGGCUUUCAAAAUUACCCAGAAUCUGACCCUUCUGCCUCCACACUGGCUCAGGGCCCUGCAGUCAUUUUCCUGCGUUUUGACAAUAGAUUGCUUUCUCCUGUUUUCACCUUUCUCCUCUUUUGUCUCUUAUGGAAGCCAGAGCCCCUCCCCUCCCCGGAAACAAGAUUCUCGCUCUUUCACCCAGGCCGGAGUGCAGUGGUGCGAUCACGGGUCACUGCAACCUCCGCCUCGAAGGUUCAAGUGAUUCUCCUGCCUCGGCCUCCCGAGUAGCUGGGACUACAGGCGCAUCGCCGCCACACUCAACAAAUUUUUGUAUCUUCAGUAGAGACGGGGUUUCACCAUGUUGGCCAGGCUGAUCUUGAACUUCUGACCUCAGGUGAUCCACGUGCCUCAGCUUCCCAAAGUGCUGGAUCACACGUGUGAGCCACCGCGUCCGGCCCAGGGUGUUUUUUUAAAGCGUAACUCCAAUCAUGUCACUGCUUUACUCAAACUCUCCAGUGUCCCCUCAUCUCAGAGUAAGAGCCAAGUCCUUGGUGUGUCCUGGGAGCCCUCCUACUUGAUAGGCGACCCCAGUUCCCUCUCUAACCCCUCCAUCCACUCCUCUCUGCUUCUGCUCCAGCCACCACUCUUCUUCAAACACUAAGCACAAAGUUACCCCUUUUGCACUCUGUAAAUAGGCAAAGACUGCUCAUCCUCAAAAUGAAUACCUGGCUUACUCCUUUUCCUUUGGGUCUCUGUUCAAGCACAAAAGCCUUCUUCAAGUGCCCUAUUAAAAUGUGAAACCGGCCGGGCGCGGUGGCUCAAGCCUGUAAUCCCAGCACUUUGGGAGGCCGAGACGGGCGGAUCACGAGGUCAGGAGAUCGAAACCAUCCUGGCUAACACGGUGAAACCCCGUCUCUAUUAAGAAAUACAAAAAACUAGCCGGGCGAGGUGGCGGGCGCCUGUAGUCCCAGCUACUCGGGAGGCUGAGGCCGGAGAAUGGCGUGAACCUGGGAGGCGGAGCUUGCAGUGAGCUGAGAUCCGGCCACUGCACUCCAGCCUGGGCAACAAAGCGAGACUCCGUCUCAAAAAAAAAAAAAA
ensembl:lncRNA